rnacentral:rRNA from 1 species
GGACUUCGGACGGCUAAUACCGGAUAAUCCUUUCCCUCACAUGAGGGAAAGCUGAAAGACGGUUUCGGCUGUCACUUACAGAUGGGCCCGCGGCGCAUUAGCUAGUUGGUGAGGUAACGGCUCACCAAGGCAACGAUGCGUAGCCGACCUGAGAGGGUGAUCGGCCACACUGGGACUGAGACACGGCCCAGACUCCUACGGGAGGCAGCAGUAGGGAAUCUUCCGCAAUGGACGAAAGUCUGACGGAGCAACGCCGCGUGAACGAUGAAGGCUUUCGGGUCGUAAAGUUCUGUUGUCAGGGAAGAACAAGUACCGGAGUAACUGCCGGUACCUUGACGGUACCUGACCAGAAAGCCACGGCUAACUACGUGCCAGCAGCC